rnacentral:rRNA from 1 species
AUGAGUGAAAGCCUCUGCCCGAUCAUGUCGUGGAAUGUCCGCGGCCUCAACCAGCCGGCAAAAUGAGCGGCAGUCUGUGAGGUAGUCACCGCUAGCAAAGUAGCGAUCUUGUGCCUGCAGGAAACCAAGAUCGACGUUUGGACCCCAACCAUCGUCAGAGAAAUUGGGGGUACUGCACUGACUGAAUGCAUAGUUCUCCCCGCAAUCGGCUCCCGCGGCGGAGCGGCCAUCUCCUGAAAAAGCAACCUGGCCACCAUUGCCUCUCAUGCUAUAGGCAAAUUCGCCACCACUGCGAAGGCGACGCUCCUCCAGCAAUCCUCGAGCUUCUGGCUAACGACUAUCUACGGACCAACCGAAGACAGUAGAAAAACUGCUUUCCUCAACGAGUUAGCUAGAACGACACCCCCUCCUACUGAUCCAUGGCUCAUCAACAACGAUAUUAACCUCAUCUACGAGGCGAGAGACAAAAACAACCACCACAUCAACCGCAGGCUCAUGUGCAUGUUCAGACAGGCCAUUGACAACACCGGCCUAAAAGAAAUCAAAUGC